UUCUAUAAACUACAAACCGACAUGUUCAACGUUUAAUACCAAACAGUCUGAUGAUAAAAUAGACCUUUAAAGUGUAAUUUUAAACGCAGAACGCAAAAUACUGACAUAGCCUAUUUUCUGACAAAGUUAAGAAUCAUCUUUCACUUGUCUGGAGACACGAGCACGCAUGAGUCCACAUGGGCUCUUUUUAUGGAGUGAUCCUCAGUGGCGCUUGGAGAAAGCCGGCGUUUCCUUUGGGUCCAGGACAAAAGCAGAUAGACAUCUGGGAUCCCGAGGCGGCGUGAGGCUGAUUGCUGUGAAAGCGGAGGUCAGGCCGCGUGGAAUGGGUUUAGCCUCACAGGUAGAGUAUCUGAGGAUCAGGGAUAGAGGAAGCCGCGCGUGCACUGGAAUCAAAGGAUCAGUGUACGGACACGAUAAAAUCAGAAGAUGUAAUGGCUGUAAAAAGGGGAUCAGAGGGGAGUGUGUGUGUGUGUGUGUGUGGAGGCCACAUGUAAACAGGCCAGUGGCUCAUGCAGUGGCGUUAACCAGCUGUGCAGCCGCUCACAGUAGGAGAUGAAUUUGCAGAGGAUGUUUUGCUUUGAUAUGCAGGAGACGCUGCACUGAUCUUUGCAUCACUGCAGUCGCACACGCCGUUAUAGAGCUGCGUUUCUAAUGGCAGCGUUUUACCUCGACACACACCGGACACUCACAUCAGCCUCCCGCCGGCAAAACACAAUACACUUUUAAAACGUGUUUAUUUACGUGUUUUCUUAUCAUUUUUUGUUCUCUUAUUCUGAUUUAAAGUCACUACGACAUCAAAAUGGACAAUUCUUUUUUUUUUUGUCAUUCUAAAUGAUUUAUAGGUGCACAUCAUUCACUCUAAAAAUGCUGGGUUGUUUUUUAACCCAAAUGCUGGGUAAUUUUAUUGGGUUAUUUUUAAUAUUUUUACCCAAAUGCUGGGUCACUCUGAAAAUGCUGUUUGUUGUUGUUGUUUUUAACCCAAAUGCUGGGUUUAGCCUGCUGGGUAAUUUUAUUGGGUUAUUCUUAUUAUUUUUACCCAUGUGCUGGGUCAUUCUGAAAAUGCUGGAUUUUUUUUUUUUUUUAACCCAAAUGCUGGGUUUAGCCUGCUGGGUAAUUUUAUUGGGUUAUUCUUAUUAUUUUUACCCAUGUGCUGGGUCAUUCUGAAAAUGCUGGGUUAUUUUUUUUUAACCCAAAUGCUGGGUAAUUUUAUUGGGUUAUUCUUAUUAUUUUUACCCAUGUGCUGGGUCAUUCUGAAAAUGCUGGAUUUUUUUUUUAACCCAAAUGCUGGGUUCAGCCUGCUGGGUAAUUUUAUUGGGUUAUUUUUAUUAUUUUUACCCAUGUGCUGGAUCACUCUGAAAAUGCUAGGUUAUUUUUUUUUUAACCCAAAUGCUGGGUUCAGCCUGCUGGGUAAUUUUAUUGGGUUAUUUGUAUUAUUUUUACCCAUGCGCUGGGUCACUCUGAAAAUGCUGGGUUAUUUUUUUUUAACCCAAAUGCUGGGUUUAGCCUGCUGGGUAAUUUUAUUGGGUUAUUUGUAUUAUUUUUACCCAUGCGCUGGGUCACUCUGAAAAUGCUAGGUUAUUUUUUUUUAACCCAAAUGCUGGGUUUAGCCUGCUGGGUAAUUUUAUUGGGUUAUUUGUAUUAUUUUUACCCAUGCGCUGGGUCACUCUGAAAAUGCUGGGUUAUUUUUAUUUAACCCAAAUGCUGGGUUCAGCCUGCUGGGUCAUUUUAUUGGGUUAUUUGUAUUAUUUUUACCCAUGCGCUGGGUCACUCUGAAAAUGCUGGGUUAUUUUUAUUUAACCCAAAUGCUGGGUUCAGCCUGCUGGGUAAUUUUAUUGGGUUAUUUUUAUUAUUUUUACCCAUGCAAUGGGUCACUCUGAAAAUGCUGGGUUAUUUAUUUUUUUUAACCCAAAUGCUGGGUUCAGCCUGCUGGGUAAUUUGGGUUAUUUUUAAUAUUUUUACCCAGCUGCUGGGUCAUUUUUAAUGUCAAUGAACCCCCUCACCCUACCCAGCGCUGGGUAAAUGUAACCCAAUGUUGGGUAGUCUGUGCCAAACCGGUUAAAACUGGAACUUAACGGUCGUUUUGUUUUCUGUUCUGAGAGAAAACUUCCUGAGGGGAAAUUCCUGAAUGAAAUUAAGAUGUAACGUAGCCUACGCCGCAGCUAACGUCUGCUUGGAACGCUAGCCUUCUACAAACGCAGCACACACCGGAUCUACACUCAAAGCGAACGACGCGCCGGCGCCACCAUGGAAGUUUCACGGCCGUCAAACGAAUGCACGACCAGGGCUGAAACACGACGCGACGUCGCUGUCAUUAUGCUAACAAAGUUGCCGUGCUCUCCACUGACUAUAAUAGGAGCGCUGUUGAUCUAGUGCGCUAACGUCGCAGCUGUACGUGGUUGCGCUAUGCAUUUGACGGUUGAAACUUAAAUGCCUGACAGAUGAGAUGGCACAAGAUUCCCAUUGGCUGCUGUUUCUUCUCCUGUCACAUCCUACUAAAUGUUUUGGAGUAUUUUAUGAUUGUAAAAGACUGCUUUGCCAUUGAAUAAAAAAUAUUGUAUA